rnacentral:rRNA from 1 species
GAUGAACGCUGGCGGCGUGCCUAAUACAUGCAAGUCGAGCGAACGGACGAGAAGCUUGCUUCUCUGAUGUUAGCGGCGGACGGGUGAGUAACACGUGGAUAACCUACCUAUAAGACUGGGAUAACUUCGGGAAACCGGAGCUAAUACCGGAUAAUAUUUUGAACCGCAUGGUUCAAAAGUGAAAGACGGUCUUGCUGUCACUUAUAGAUGGAUCCGCGCUACAUUAGCUAGUUGGUAAGGUAACGGCUUACCAAGGCAACGAUGCAUAGCCGACCUGAGAGGGUGAUCAGCCACACUGGAACUGAGACACGGUCCAGACUCCUACGGGAGGCAGCAGUAGGGAAUCUUGCGCAAUGGGCGAAAGCCUGACGGAGCAACGCCGCGUGAGUGAUGAAGGUCUUCGGAUCGUAAAACUCUGUUAUUAGGGAAGAACAUAUGUGUAAGUAACUGUGCACAUCUUGACGGUACCUAAUCAGAAAGCCACGGCUAACUACGUG